ACAGAAGCCUGCAAAUCCCAUGCUGACCUGGCGUUCUUGCUGUUGCACUUGUAAGUAUCUUUGAUCAGAAACUUUAUCUGCCACAGAGUUUCUUGUCAGCUUGAUGUUGGCAAACGCAAGUUGCUUCUGCUUCGACAGCGUUCUAAGGCCAUUGUAGGAAAAAAAAUAAUGUUACGGACCCAGGAGAGAAAGGUAAUAUUUCGAGAAAAACAGUGAGAACAGCGAAGAAAAUGGCAAAACUGCAUAGCGCUCCUUUAAUAUGUUGUUGUUCUGUAGCUACAUUUCUACAUUUCCUACAUUUCUUCUUCUUUAUAGAAUGUAUCAUGUCGUGGAGUUUGUCAACUCAAAGGAUGUUAAAGUUGUCCACUCUAAUUGGCUGAAAGGAGGCCAAAGUUUCUGGCGCCCUUUUGUAUCUCUUGCAAAGCUGCGUAGGGCAGCUAAAGAUGGGGUGAUGCCCGGUGCUGACUGGACUCGAUUCAGAGUCCGUGUGAUGUAAUCACAUGACGUGUAUGAGAUUGCCUGUGUAAAGCUGCUAGAGGCUACAAUUACCUCUGAUCUAAACACUGAAGAUGAGGACAACAGGCCAGAGUACAUGAAGAGAAAGAAUAGAGGCUGUAGAAGAAUGGUAAGCAGCAGUGAAGAGGAGGAGGAGGAGGAGGAAGAGGAGCAGGGGAGGACUGCUGCACCUCGUACCCCAACCAAAAGGAAAUCUUACACUCUACUUGCACCAGCCCCCUGCAUCCCGUCUCUUGAUGCUCUAGGUGAAGGGAGUCAGCCAGUUGGUCAAGGUUUUUGGUCCUCAGGCCGUAUUUCAGAGACC